GCUUCAAAUCAGCAGAAAGAUCAUGGUAGCUGAGCCUUAGGGCAGGAACAAUUUCAUCAGCAUUUUCUAAAUUCCAUAUCUCAUUGUUUAACACGUCAUUCCAUUCUUCUCCUUCGGUUUUUGCCCUCAGUAACCUUCCAAUUGCCUUUAAAGCUAAAGGCAAACCACCACAUUUUUUUACAAUACCUUCAGCUUGUGGUUUAAGUGUUGUAUGUGAGUCAAAGUUAUCUACAUCCAAUGCAUGUAGAGCUAAUAAAGACAAAGCUAGCCCCAGAAUGAAAUGGACGCACUAGGUUUUCCCAGUCGUCAUAGUUUUCAUUCCAAACAUCAUCAAGUACUAGAAGAAAUCUUUUGUCCUUAAGUUGCUCUCUCAGAGCAGUUUGAAGCAGAUUUAUGUCUUUAAACUGCUUGUUUUCUGUAGCCACUGAUUGGAAGAUGGUUUCACUUAUUUUAAAUAUAUCAAACACGUCGGAAACACAAACCCAUAUCAUGAGUUCAAAGUGACCUUUCACCCGUGUAUCGUUAUACAAUAUUCUUGCCAGAGUGGUUUUCCCCACCCCACCCAUACCAACGAUGGGCACAAUAACAAAGUUUUGUUUAGAUGGUUCAUCCUGCAACAACUUGUUGAUCAACUUCUCUUUCUCACCUUCUCGCCCAACAACAUCAGAUUCUAGCAAAGAGGUUUCGUUUCGCCUACUACUACUUUUUGGCUUAUCAUCUCUCACAAUCAAACCCAGAUCAGACUUUCGUUUUUCUAGUUGUUGUAACUGGGUGGUAAUACUAUCUAACUUGGGAGACAACCUAUGACUUAGUGAGAAUUUUGUGAAGAAACUUGGGACCAUGAGCUUUCUUACCUUGCUGAUGACUGAUCCCGAUUCCUGUGUCAGCUCACGAUGUAUAGCUUCGGUAGCCACAUCGU
rnacentral:lncRNA from 1 species